AGCUUUGUGCAGUGACAGUAUCGUAGCCAAUGAGGUUUAUCUGAGGCACGAUUAUUGCUAAUUAAAAUUGGCCGCAGCCAGUGUCCACAAUAGCCAAAUUAUGGAAAGAGCCUAGAUGUC
rnacentral:snRNA from 1 species